rnacentral:lncRNA from 1 species
GCAGGUGUGUAGCGUUACUCGAAUUUCAAGAUUCAAAAUUAUUUAUCUCCUAAACUUCUUAUCAUUUUUUAAAUCCGUUUGAACCAUGAGGUUAUUUAGAAUUAAUGUGACAAAAGAAGAUGCAUAAUGCUUUUUUUUAAAAAUAAAUAUUCAACAUUUUGCAUGAACUGUUUCAACAUUUAAACUAACAUUUUAACGUUGUUUUAACAUUUUUUUUGAAAAGGAGCUGUUUCAACAUUUAGACUAAAUGUUUCAACACUUUUAUGCUGUUUCAACAUUUAGAUUAAAUGUUUCAACACUUUUAUAUUGUUUCAAUAUUUAAAAAAAUGUUGAGCCAUAAUGUUGGUGAAGGAAAAAAAAGUUGAAGAAAAAUGUUGGUAUGUGUAAAAAAAUGUUGAGCCCUAAUGUUGGUGAAUGUAAUAAAGUUGAAGAAAAAUGUUGGUGCAUAUAAAAAGGUUGCUCAACAUUAAAAAAUGCUGUUGUGCUGUUGACAAUUAAGUUUUGCUUUGAAGAAAAUGUUGACGAAUGCCAUGAAAUGGUGAUGAAUGUCAAACAAAUGUUAAAGAAAAAAUUUGGUACACAUAAAAAAAUUAAACAAAAUACGUUGAAAAAGAAAAAUGUUGCUUAGCAUCAAUAAAAUGUUAGUAUAUUCGAAAAAUGUUCAAAAAUAAUUUGAUUCAAAAUAUAGUCAAGUGUGAUCUUGUUUUGUAGAUCUUAUCGUAAAGAAUACAAUGGUCC